rnacentral:misc_RNA from 1 species
UUUCCGUAGGUGAACCUGCGGAAGGAUCAUUAUUGUAUAACCGAGGUGCGAGGGCUGUCGCUGACCCGAAAGGUCGUGCACACCCGAGUGCCCACACACACAUCCAUCUCACCCCUAUGUGCACCACCGCGUGGGUCCCCCUUUGGCUUGUUCGGAAGGGGGCUUACGUUUUCACACAAACUUUGUAUGCAGUGUAGAAUGUAUUUUUUGUUUUUGCGAUCACGCAAUCAAUACGACUUUCAACAACGGAUCUCUUGGCUCUC